rnacentral:rRNA from 1 species
CCUACGGGGGGCAGCAGUAGGGAAUCUUGCUCAAUGGGGGAAACCCUGACGCAGCAACGCCGCGUGGGGGAUGAAGGUUUUCGGAUUGUAAACUCCUUUUGUGAGAGAAGAUAAUGACGGUAUGUCACGGAUAAGCACCUGCUAAAUUCGUACCAGCAGCAGCGGUAAUACGACGGGUGCAAGGGUUACUCGGAAUCACUGGGCGUAAAGAGUGCGCAGGCGGGUUUGUAGGUCAGAUGUGAAAUCCUGUGGCUUAACUACAGAACUGCAUUUGAAACUAGGAGUCUAGAGUGUGGGAGAGGAAGGUGGAAUUCCUGGUGUAGGGGUAAAAUGCGUAGAUAUCAAGAGGAAUACUCAUUGCGAAGGCGACCUACUGGAACAUUACUGACGCUCAUGCACGAAAGCGUGGGGAGCAAACAGGAUUAGAUACCCCAGUAGUC